AUUGAACGCUGGCGGCAGGCCUAACACAUGCAAGUCGAACGAGUGGCGGACGGGUGAGUAAUGUCUGGGAAACUGCCUGAUGGAGGGGGAUAACUACUGGAAACGGUAGCUAAUACCGCAUACCAUCGGAUGUGCCCAGAUGGGAUUAGCUUGUUGGUGGGGUAACGGCUCACCAAGGCGACGAUCCCUAGCUGGUCUUAGAGGAUGACCAGCCCAACUGGAAACGCGACACGGGCCAGACUCCGACGGGAGGCAGGAGGGGGGAAUAUUGCACAAAGGGCGGAAGCCUGAUGCAGCCAUGGCGCGUGUAUGAAGAAGGCCUUCGGGUUGUAAAGUACUUUCAGCGGGGAGGCGUUACCCGCAGAAGAAGCACCGGCUAACUCCGUGGCAGCAGCCGCGGUAAUAC
rnacentral:rRNA from 1 species